UACGUAGGGUGCGAGCGUUAAUCGGAAUUACUGGGUGUAAAGCGUGCGCAGGCGGUUUUGUAAGCCAGAUGUGAAAUCCCCGGGCUUAACCUGGGAAUGGCAUUUGGGACUGCAAGGCUUGAGUGCGGCAGAGGAGACUGGAAUUCCUGGUGUAGCGGUGAAAUGCGCAGAUAUCAGGAGGAACACCGGAGCGGAAGGCGGGUCUCUGGGCAGUAACUGACGCUGAGGAGCGAAAAGCGUGGGGGAGCGAA
rnacentral:rRNA from 1 species